rnacentral:rRNA from 1 species
UUUGAUGGCGACCGGCGCACGGGUGAGUAACACGUAUCCAACCUGCCGAUGACUCGGGGAUAGCCUUUCGAAAGAAAGAUUAAUACCCGAUGGCAUAGUUCUUCCGCAUGGUAGAACUAUUAAAGAAUUUCGGUCAUCGAUGGGGAUGCGUUCCAUUAGUUGUUGGCGGGGUAACGGCCCACCAAGCUCGAUGGAUAGGGGUUCUGAGAGGAAGGUCCCCCACAUUGGAACUGAGACACGGUCCAA